UGCAGAAACAAACUUCACGAAAAUUAUGACCAAAUAAACAAUAAAACUUCAGAUAAUUCUACAUCUUAUUGUACUAUUUUAAAUACAAAUCGCUCGUCAAGUUACUGGUAAUAAUUAUUUGGAAAAAAAUUGAUUUUAGUUGAAAUGAUAGGACGUUUUUUUUUAAUAGAAAUCAUUUUUUUCCCUAAGCCUGAAAAUGCAGCAACUGGACGUCAUAGGUCAAACAGUGACGUCAUUUUAAUUAUGACGUCACGCCAGGCAUGCGAUACGGAUUUUGCUAUGCGAUACGGGGUAUGCGAUACAGGGUAGGUGAUACAGACUGGAAAAAAGAACCUUUAUUAGAUAUACAAAAUUGCUGUAUUUUGUACUAAAUAUAUGAUAAAUAAUGAUACAAAACAUAUAUAUCUAUCAGUACAAUUUCAAGAUCUGGCUGAAGGUUUAUUUGAGAUCUUAUAUCUGUUUUUGUCAUAUUUACAUAUUAAGUUGAUCCUUCAUAGCUCGGAUCAAACAGCAGGCAAAAAAGAUACAAAAAACCUG
rnacentral:lncRNA from 1 species